GAUUUCAAAUGAAAAAGUCAUGAACAACACAGUUGUAUAACUCAUCAAUAUCUAUAACUUUUAUUUUGUCCAUUUCUUCAUCCCACAAAGUGGUAAUAGCAUUGUUUACAAAAUUUACAUAUCCUUAUAUGGUUUUAUAGACUAUAAGACAUAUAUGUAAAUUUUGUGAAAAAUAUUAGUAGCAUUUUGUCAGAAAUUACCAAAAUGAAAGUUAUAUAUAUUGACGAGUUGUACAACUUUUUUAUUGAUGACUUUUUCCGUUGAAAUC
rnacentral:pre_miRNA from 1 species